rnacentral:rRNA from 1 species
CAAUAGCGUAUAUUUAAGUUGUUGCAGUUAAAAAGCUCGUAGUUGGAUUUCGGGCGGGUGACGGCGGUUCGCCUCUGGUGUGCACUGCCGGCAUCCGCCUUUCUGUCGGGGACGGGCUCCUGGGCUUCAUUGCUUGGGACUCGGGUUCGACGUGGUUACUUUGAGUAAAUUAGAGUGUUCAAAGCAGGCGAUCGCCCUGAAUACAUUAGCAUGGAAUAGCACGAUAGGACUCUGGCCUAUUUUGCUGGUCUGUAGGACCGGAGUAAUGAUUAAGAGGGACAGUCGGGGGCAUUCGUAUUUCAUUGUCAGAGGUGAAAUUCUUGGAUUUAUGAAAGACGAACUUCUGCGAAAGCAUUUGCCAAGGAUGUUUUCAUUGA